UGCAUGUCUAAGUACAUGCCGUAUUAAGGCGAAACCGCGAAUGGCUCAUUAAAUCAGUUAUGGUUCCUUGGAUCGUACCUUACUACUUGGAUAACUGUGGCAAUUCUAGAGCUAAUACAUGCAGCAGAGCUCCGACCUUCGGGGACGAGCGCUUUUAUUAGACCAAAACCAAUCGGACCUCGUGUCCGUCUCUUGUGGUGACUCUGAAUAACUUUGGGCUGAUCGCACGGGCCCGUCCCGGCGACGUAUCUUUCAAGUGUCUGCCUUAUCAACUUUCGAUGGUAGGUUACGCGCCUACCAUGGUCGUAACGGGUAACGGGGAAUCAGGGUUCGAUUCCGGAGAGGGAGCCUGAGAAACGGCUACCACAUCCAAGGAAGGCAGCAGGCGCGCAAAUUACCCACUCCCAGAACGGGGAGGUAGUGACGAAAAAUAACAAUACGGGACUCUUUUGAGACCCCGUAAUUGGAAUGAGUACACUCUAAAGCCUUUAACGAGUAUCCAUUGGAGGGCAAGUCUGGUGCCAGCAGCUGCGGUAAUUCCAGCUCCAAUAGCGUAUAUUAAAGUUGUUGCGGUUAAAAAGCUCGUAGUUGGAUCUCAGUUCCAGACGGGUGGUCCACCUACCGGUGGUUACUGCCUGUUCUGAACAGCCAGCCGGUUUCUCUUGAUGAUCUUCACCGGUUGUCUUGGGUGACCGGCAAGUUUACUUUGAAAAAAUUAGAGUGCUCAAAGCAGGCGUGACGCCUGAAUAAUGGUGCAUGGAAUAAUAGAAUAGGACCUCGUUUCUAUUUUGUUGGUUUUCGGAACACGAGGUAAUGAUUAAGAGGGACAGACGGGGGCAUUCGUAUUGCGACGCUNGAGGUGAAA
rnacentral:rRNA from 1 species